rnacentral:rRNA from 1 species
UACGAAGGGGGCUAGCGUUGCUCGGAAUCACUGGGCGUAAAGCGCACGUAGGCGGACUCUUAAGUCGGUGGUGAAAUCCCGGGGCUCAACCCCGGAACUGCAUUGGAUACUGCCUUGCUAGAGUACUGGAGAGGGAACUGGAAUUUACGGUGUAGCAGUGAAAUGCGUAGAGAUCGUAAGGAAGGCCAGUGGCGAAGGCGAGUUCCUGGACAGUUACUGACGCUGAGGCACGAAGGCCAGGGGAGCAAACGGG